CAUGCACCGCAUGCACACUACCGCCGCUCAUUGAUAGGUAUUCAGAGAGAGGGAGGAAAUGAAGCUCGCUUACGCUCAUUGUUCUGGUUGUUCCCGGAUUGGGGCUGCACCUUGCGGCUAAGCGCUGGAAGCAGUUCUACGCUAGCAUAUAACAAGAAUCUACAGCCAGAAACAAGUAGUCAAUGCUAAUUAUCGCUAAUAUUCGGAACAAAUUCCUCCUUCUCCAAAUCCAGGAGGAAAAAAUUUUAAAGAAAAGAUUGAAAUAUGACAAGAUGCGUCCACUCUGGAGAAACAAUGGAAUUGAUGCAAACCCUGAUGAAGCAAACAACAGAUCCAGAAAAGAAGAAAGACAGAUCUGAUAAAACAAAGAAUGUAAGAUGGCCAGAGAAUAAAGAAAUUAAAACCUGAUUAAAUUAAGGAAAAAUUCUACUAUACAAAAAUGGAAGGUAUGAAAAAUUAAACAAAAUUACCUGACCUAAGAAUAUCGAAAUCGAAGAACAAUGAGAGGUCCGCGACAUGCACCGCCUUGCGCGGGUUCUGGUCAUCACAAUACUCAGUACGAUAAACAAGCAACUGCAACGUUUCAAGAGAUCAAGUAUCGGCAUCAGCAAAGGUAAUUACGCUUCAAGGAGAGUACGACAUGUAAUACAUUUAUCGUUUGAAUAAAUUAGGCGUUGACCAUUACUCUUAACAAUCAAGAAUUAUUAUUGUAUAUUUAAUCAGGUCUUCUUUAAGACUAUCAGACAUUUAAAACGACCGUUCGCUGUGAUAACUUGUGAUCUCGUCGUUACUGAAAGAAUCGCGCAGAUUAUGCUGCCUUCAAUAACUGAAGGCGCCUACGGACUUUUUGCAUUUCUCUUCCCACUGUGAGCAGAAAUAUCUGCUCGUCUUUGGGCAAGAUGUGCGAAGUCACAUUGGUUGCCACAGAGAGUAUUAUUGUUACAAAUAGUCUUGGUUCGUGCUAAAUGCCAAAAGCAAGAAAGAAUCAUAGAGCCGAAAACCAUAAUAGUAAAAAACGUACAGAACGUUGGUUUAAACGUUUGUUAGCUGCCAAAAUUAAAAGAGAAGAAGAGAGGAAUCGAAAAAAUUAGGAUUAACCGUAGAGCAAAUAGAAAUUAGUUUCUCGCCGUCAAUCUAGAGCUCCGUUGCCAGUAGUUUAUGAUAGCGAUAAUUAUCCCUGUUUUACAACCUACAUAGUGAAUUAUAUCAGAACUUUGUUAAUAAACAUACAAUUAAAUGAAUCGAAUAAAUCACCAAUUAAGAAGA